rnacentral:rRNA from 1 species
CGGGGGAAAAAAUUAUUGCUAUUAGAUGAGCCUAUAUUAGAUUAGRUAGUUGGUGRGGUAARRGCRUACCAAGRRAAUGAUCUAUAGCUGAUCUGAGAGGAUGAUCAGCCACACUGGAACUGAGAUACGGUCCAGACUCCUACGGGAGGCAGCAGUGGGGAAUAUUGGACAAUGGGCGAAAGCCUGAUCCAGCCAUGCCGCAUGAGUGAAGAAGGCCUUUGGGUUGUAAAGCUCUUUUAGUGAGGAAGAUAAUGACGGUACUCACAGAAGAAGUCCUGGCUAACUCCGUGCCAGCAGCCGCGGUAAUACGGAGAGGGCUAGCGUUAUUCGGAAUUAUUGGGCGUAAAGGGCGCGUAGGCUGRUUAAUAAGUUAAAAGUGAAAUCCCGAGGCUUAACCUUGGAAUUGCUUUUAAAACUAUURAUCUAGAGAUUGAAAGAGGAUAGAGGAAUUCCUGAUGUAGAGGURAAAUUCGUAAAUAUUAGGAGGAACACCAGUGGCGAAGGCGUCUAUCUGGUUCAAAUCUGACGCUGARGCGCGAAGGCGUGGGGAGCAAACAGGAUUAGAUACCCUGGUAGUCCACGCUGUAAACGAUGAAAUGUUAAAUAUGGGAGUUUACUUUCRRRRRUACAGCU